UACGUAGGGUGCAGGCGUUAAUCGGAAUUACUGGGCGUAAAGCGUGCGCAGGCGGUUCGUUGUGUCUGAUGUGAAAUCCCGGGGCUCAACCUCGGAAUGGCAUUCAAUACUGCUUCGCUAGAGUACUGGAGAGGAGGCUGGAAUUUACGGUGUAGCAGUGAAAUGCGUAGAUAUCGUAAGGAAGGCCGGUGGCGAAAGCGAGCCUCUGGACAGUUACUGACGCUGAUGCACGAAGGCCAGGGGAGCAAACGGG
rnacentral:rRNA from 1 species